rnacentral:rRNA from 1 species
UGGGGUAUAUUGGACAAUGGGCGAAAGCCUGAUCCAGCCAUGCCGCGUGUGUGAAGAAGGUCUUCGGUUUGUAAAGCACUUUAAGUUGGGAGGAAGGGCAGUAAGCGAAUACCUUGCUGUUUUGACGUUACCGACAGAAUAAGCACCGGCUAACUCUGUGCCAGCAGCCGCGGUAAUACAGAGGGUGCAAGCGUUAAUCGGAAUUACUGGGCGUAAAGCGCGCGUAGGUGGUUCGUUAAGUUGAAUGUGAAAGCCCCGGGCUCAACCUGGGAGCUGCAUCCAAAACUGGCGAGCUAGAGUAGGGCAGAGGGUGGUGGAAUUUCCUGUGUAGCGGUGAAAUGCGUAGAUAUAGGAAGGAACACCAGUGGCGAAGGCGACCACCUGGGCUCAUACUGACACUGAGGUGCGAAAGCGUGGGGAGCAAACAGG